UCAAAAGGUAGUUUUAUUAAAAUAGUAGUUUUGGAUACUACAGAUGGGCCUACUCCUUUUGAGC
rnacentral:tRNA from 1 species